rnacentral:tRNA from 3 species
GCGCCCAUGGCUCAACGGAUAGAGCAUCAGACUUCUAAUCUGACGGUUGCAGGUUCGAGUCCUGCUGGGCGCGCCA